GUGCUCACUUCGGCAGCACAUAUACUAAAAUUGGAACGAUACAGAGAAGAUUAGCAUGGCCCCUGCACAAGAAAAAAAACAAACAACACAGUCAGGUCAGAUCAUA
rnacentral:snRNA from 1 species